UCCCAACUCCGAGAAGAGUCCAGGGAGC
rnacentral:piRNA from 1 species